UCCAGCUGAGCUAAGAGUAGCAGCAGCACCAGGGCAGGGACUGACUCCAGCCCUUGGACUUAGGACAUCGCAACACCUUCCCUUGCGUGCGUGACUCAUUCGCACAUCCUUUCUGUUUAUGCCUGGGGUGGGGAGAAAAAUCCCAAACCAGCUGUGUAAAUGAGUAUGGAAGAUUAUGAUUUCCUGUUUAAAAUUGUUUUAAUCGGCAAUGCUGGUGUGGGGAAGACGUGCCUAGUCCGACGGUUCACUCAGGGUCUUUUCCCCCCAGGACAAGGAGCCACAAUUGGAGUUGAUUUUAUGAUUAAGACAGUGGAGAUUAAUGGUGAAAAAGUAAAGCUCCAGAUCUGGGACACAGCAGGUCAAGAGAGAUUUCGGUCCAUCACCCAGAGUUAUUACCGAAGCGCCAAUGCCUUGAUCCUCACCUAUGACAUAACCUGUGAGGAAUCCUUCCGUUGCCUUCCUGAGUGGCUGCGGGAGAUAGAACAAUAUGCUAGCAACAAGGUCAUCACUGUGCUAGUGGGCAACAAGAUUGAUCUGGCUGAAAGGAGAGAGGUCUCCCAGCAGAGAGCUGAAGAAUUCUCAGAAGCUCAGGACAUGUAUUAUCUGGAGACCUCGGCCAAGGAAUCCGAUAACGUGGAGAAACUCUUCCUUGACUUGGCGUGCCGCCUCAUCAGUGAAGCCAGGCAGAACACACUUGUGAACAAUGUAUCCUCACCCUUACCUGGAGAAGGGAAAAGUAUCAGCUAUUUGACUUGUUGUAAUUUCAACUAAAGGCUGAGGCAAGGAGAAGCAAGAGGAAUCAGCAGUUGCCCUGAUGGGCCACCAAUUGCUGGGGAGAUCUGGCGAUGACUAUGGGUCCCGCUCUAGUACCUUCUGACUCCUGUGGGCUCCUGAGCUUACAAAGCAUGGCAGGCCAAGGGCCUUGUCCACAGGCCAGCAUUAGCAGAACAUAUAAUGGUUUCACCCUUUUGCAGUCUGGAGUCGGAUCAAGGAGAAAAUUGCACUAGGCGCUCCAUGACCUGCAGAGCAUGUUGCUUUUGUUUUUUUUAAAAAAGCAAGUAAAACGCAUUCCUGAACACAGUCCAGGGGGAGACGUACUGUAGGGAUCCCUCCUGCACGUCAGUGGGUGCAUGUGGGGGCUGCUCUUUAGGGCUUCUGGGGGCCCUGGUUUUCUUGUCUACCAGGUAAACCAAAACUGGGAACGCCAAGUCCUGUCUCUGGUGCGUGCUGAUGGCUCCAUGGAGAUUUUGAAAAGUGUUAUUUCUCUUUUCCAUGGGCACUUUCAAGAACUUUGGGAUGUAAAAAUGAAAUGAAACCUUUACCCGUGACAACAGUAGCAAUCAUUAUUAAUGUAUACAAGCUCCAUGACUCCUUUUGGUGCUAAUGAUUCCACUCUUUCACAGACCAAACGUUUUAGUACAUUGAUGUCCUUAAAUACAUUUCAUAGAAAUAAAAACAAAACAAAACAAAAAAAAAAAGAAAAAAGGGAAGUCCAUGUCUUUCUCAAAAUCUCAUUAUCACCUUUUCUAGGGUAGAUUUGUUGGGAAAGAGAAUACUUUUCCUUUCCUGUUCCCCUCUAAAUCUCUACCACUUUCUUCUUCCAUUCUCCCUUCUUUCCUGCCCUUUAACUAAAUGAAAAAGUUUGAAAAAUGGAAAAAAAAAAGAGAGAAUGGUGGAUACCCUAAUAUAAAAGAUGAGCUCUAAAACAUUAUGAGUAGUGUGAGAAAACAGACCCGAUCUGACCAAAAUACUGUGGAUUAAUGGACUGCCGUGCAGAGUUCCAAGCAGAGCACAGUCCUUGAUAGCAGGUCACGUCUUUUACUUCCUGGUACUAUCCAUCUUGGACAGACCAAGGCUUAGGAUUUUGUAGGUGUUUUUAGUACGGUAAGUGAGAAUAGCAACAGAUGAAAAGUCUCACGAUUUUUGUAUCUACAAUGAUAACCUUAGAAAAAUUCUGCUCGUAGCAGCAGAUUGAGUAGUCAUUUGUCAUCUCCUUGUAGUAAUGUUACUUUCAGACUCAUGACUAUUCAUUCUUUCCUGUUUCUUUUUCUUUUCCUUUAUUUCCUGGUCUUCCCUUUUUACCUCCUCUCCUUCUUAUCCCCCUCCUUCCCUCCCUUCCUUAUAUACAUGUGUUACUACAAAUCUCCAAUUCAAAUGGAGGUAUAUAUGCCUUUACUUAGCCAAUUUAAAAACAGAACUCAAAAUGGAAGCCAUGCUGCUGAAUAUGUGUUACUGUUUCUUCAGUGCCAUACUUUGAUACCUUCCAAUUUGUUCACUGAUAUAAAUGCAAAUUGGGAAAGUAAUUAAACGUAUUUGCUGUUGAUGCUGUCAGAUGUUUCUGUAGCUUGCUGCUUAGUAUAAUUGAGGGAUGAGUAAUGGGAUAAGGAUAUGAUACAUAAUUCCACUGUUGCUGUAGAUGGUGGCAGUCUUGGUCCUGAUAUAUUGAUGUGUGAAAGCUAUUGAGUUUUAAAGCAAUGAGUCAUGUAGAGACGCAAUAUUGGUGAAGCCUUUCUAGCAUUUCUUUAGUAGGUUUCAGAGCGACCUAUCUGCUCAUGGGGACUAUACAUAUUGUUUAAGGGACUGAUACUUAUGGUUGGCCUCACCAUGCUUGUCCUGAUCCUAUGGGUAAGAGAAAGAGAUCCCAGAAGUUUGAAUUGCUUUUAUUUUAGAACCUAUCUCUAUAGGAAAGAAAAAUCAUUUUAAUAAACACCAAACAAAAUAAUUUAUCAUGGUUGCCUUUCCCUCCCCAUUUUCCCCACCAAGCCAGCAAGUAAAGGUGUUCAGAAAAGUUCCUCAAAGUGGGCAGAAGAACUCUUUUUAAAUGUUGAGGAAAUGUCCCUAAGUUUAGGUUUACUAUCUUUCAUUUAGGGCAAAAAUCCAAAGUCCCCAGCACAUCAUGACUCAACUUUGUCUCACAGAAGCAAGUGUGUUGAAAAUAAAGUUGCUUUAUGAACUUAGAAAAUAGAACAUUGUUAGAUUGGACAAAUUUAGUUGUAAAAUAACAGGUUGUAGGGCCACUCUUGCAUUCUGAGAUUAUUUCCUAGGGCUCAGUCUCCUUUAUCUACUCUUGGCCAAACUCAGAAGGGUAUUAGAAAGCUCUGCUCUUGGCCCCUUUCUUCCCUGUUACCCUUCCCAGCCUUUCUGUACUUACAGUCACCCAUCUAUGGCACAUCAGCAGGGACACAUGAGAAUGUAGGGCCUUGUUUCUUUUUUUCUCUUAGUUGUAUGAAUUCUAGAUUAGGCCUUAUGGACACUUGUUCACUGAUGUAUCUCAAGUUUGAGAACAAGCCCUGAUAAUAUUGUAGGUGCUCAAUAAAUAUUAAUUGAAUAAACAACUUAGCGCCAAGAGGAGCUUUUUCAGUUAAACAGAAAUUUAUCAAAUAGAACUUGAGAAAGGACACUAAUUAAAUGUGGCCAUCUUAACCCAAGCCAGGACCUAAACUUACUGGUUUGCCUACUAGUCCUUAUUGUCUUGGCAAUAUUUGCUAAGAUGAGCCUUCUUAAAUAAAAAUGAAUUCUCAUUUAAUGGUGGGUGAAAAAGAGGGUUGCUUUCUCAUAAUUCAGUAUGGCUUGAUCUGACUCAUAAGACUACCAGAGUCCAUGUCUGCCUCCAUUUUGGUGUGAUCUUUUUCUUUUUUUUAAUAAUGUUACUAAAUAUAUGGCGAACUUUCCUUCAAUUUACAAUACAUCAUAUCCGUCAUAUAGUCAGAUUUGGGGAAUCUGUGAAAUCAUGUAGUUUGCUUAUAUUAAUGAUAUUAUGGCUUUGUCUAGACUGUAUCCUCAAAGGAUUUUAUGCUUUGUCCUUUACCUAUGCAAGGCUUUUUAGUCCUUUAUGUGCUUUUGUUAGAUCUAUUGAAUUAUAUUAACAUUUAAAUUUGAUUAUAUGGGGCCAGUUAUCCUUUCUGUGGAUUACUUAGAGUAGGCCAUUAGUUUUUCCUAGCCAUUUUUUCCUUCUUUUUUUUAAAGUCAUUUCAUGUUAGCACCUCUACCUGAGUAAAGAGGAAAGAAAAUAACUAAAAAUGAAAGUGAAAUGGAUUGAUUUGACAAUGUGUCAAUUUCUGAGUUAGAGUUUGGUAAGAAAGGUAAAAAUCACUGGCCAAAAUAAGACACUUGGAUUAGGGCUAUUUCCUGUAAACAAUUUAGACUUGCUGGAGAGAGGAGGCAGAAUUUAACCAAAGGCUGGAUUCUUCUUUCUUCUUCUGUUUAUGAAUUUAUGUCUUUGGAGGACACUGGUGACAUCCAGUGUUAGAUCAUGAUUUGCCUCAUUUGCCCUUUAAGCUACCCCAUAAUUCUUCUAGAUCCAGCAUCAAGUUUCAGUUAAUGAAUCUUUCUGAAUAAAUACCAGUUGCAAGUGAUUUUGAAUUGGUCCUCUGACUAAAAUGAAAACUUCUUUUUUUUAUAAUAAACUAAGCUACGUGAAUGAGAUCAUAUUAUAAUCAGGAAAAAACUAUUUAAUUUUUUGCCCCACGUAUCAAACCAAUAGCUUUAAAGAUAGACAUUUUCUAUUUCUUAAUCCUGCAGAACUCUGUAUUUCAUAAUCAUAAGUACUUUAGGGACUGCUGCCCUAUUAGCCUGUAGAAGAGCUCUUCUAGGGUUUUACCCUUUCUUUUUUCUAGAGUUUUUUUUUUUUAACUUCAACUGGUUACUUAUUCUCCUCAACCAUGGCCCUGACAGAUGUGUUUCAGUGCAACUAUAGUCCUCCUGAGACUUAACUUGAAAAUGAAAAGCAGUGAAAAAACAUGUGUUAUCUCAUCCUUCUGACAAAAUGUACUCCAUGCUUUGCUCUUCUGCCCAAAGUGCAUCCCACUCUCCAGGAAGGAGUUUGGUUACAUGUCAUUAGGUCGAGACUGGCUUGCUGUUAUGCCCUAGGCUGGGAUUGCUUUCCAAGUCCAUUCAUUGAUGUCCUGUUGAAAUCACAAACUGGUUCUUGAGUUAAAGAUUAAAAAGGUAUUGUUUUAGUAGAAGUUGAAAUCUACAUGAAAUCAUGGAAAUUAUGUAUUUGUCACUUGCCAAACAUAGGCCAAGCUCAGUGUUAGUGAGUACUUGGUAUUUCUUCAGGAUUUCAGGAUAGGCCUCUUUAGCAGAGCGGAAUCUUCGGUUAAAAUCCCAUAAAUUACCAACUUAAAGUUUUGCACCUCCUGUCACAGAUGGGCUGGUGGUCACUGGCAAAAAGCAGGCCCCAAAAUCUAUUUCGAAAAGUCUCAAAUGACAUUUGGUUACUCGGUUUGAUUCUCUUGAAAAAGCAUGAUCUGAAAAUAAUUUUAAAAGAACGGAGGCCAAAUUGCUUUAUGUAGAAAGUAACAAAAUAUAGGUCUUUGAUUUGAAAAUCAGAGAUAACUAUAAGCAACAUUUGCUAAUGAAGCCCAUUACCCAGGUGAUUCCACCUGCAAGGUAACUUGCAUCCUUGCAAGGCUGGUAGAUGGCUCUUCAUUGGUCUUUCUAAAAAAGUCAUUGGUCUUGCAUCAGUAUGGUGAGAAACACUUCAGUUUGGGUGAGAAUUUCUUUGACUCGUUUGGAUAAGAAGUCAGAGCACAAAAGCUACCCUCUUCUUUAACUGACUUUGUGAAAUGCAAGAGUCAAAAUUUUACUUUCCUACUGAGUUAAAGCAGAAUUUUCAGAGGUAUUGUGUUCUAGUUCCCUUGGCGGGUUGUGACUUUGACACUUCAGGGAGUGAUGUAGGGAGGUAUUUAGAAGGGGGAACACUAGGCUAGGUGUGAGGUGUCCUAAUAUUCCCAUGAAUUAGCUAUAACAUUAUGCAAAGCACAAUCUCUUGCAGUUUCCUCCUCCUCCACAAGAUAGACUAAUAGUAAUAAUACCUGUCAGAAUUAUUGUAAAAAUUAGAUAAAUUGAAAAUGCUUGGUAAACAGUAAACACUCAAAUAUUAGUUUUCUCCUUGAUUAAGAGCAGACUUUGGAUGGUCUGAUACAACUACAGAUCCUUAGAACGAAACAAGGAAUCCUCCUGACGUAAAAAAAAAAACUCCAUUUCUGAAAGGGCCUUAAAAGAAAAUCACUCAUUUGAUCCAUUCUUCUGCCUUAGGGCAUAACUGUUACCCAAGAGACUCCACUUCUUUACCUACUUCAAGAAAGGCAUUCUCUCUCUCUACCCAGUGGGCAGUUCCAGGGUCGUAAAGUCAUUAUCAGGAAACUUAAGCUUAUUACUGAGAUACCUCACAGUGCAAUUUGAACCUCUCUCUUCUUGAUCCCAUUCUCCAUUAGAAGAAAAAUGGGUUGAUCCUGUUUUCUUUUUAAAGGGCCAUGUUUGCCAUUUAUUAUAGCCCUUCUGCCUCAAUUUUUUUUAAUUGACAGAAAAAGCUCAUUAAGGUGAUAAUUAUUAUUUCCUUGGGGAAUGUCAGGAUAGGUAUUUAUAAAUU